rnacentral:rRNA from 1 species
GACGAACGCUGGCGGCGUGCUUAACACAUGCAAGUCGAACGGAAAGGCCCUGCUUUUGUGGGGUGCUCGAGUGGCGAACGGGUGAGUAACACGUGAGUAACCUGCCCUUGACUUUGGGAUAACUUCAGGAAACUGGGGCUAAUACCGGAUAGGAGCUCCUGCUGCAUGGGGGGGGUUGGAAAGUUUCGGCGGUUGGGGAUGGACUCGCGGCUUAUCAGCUUGUUGGUGGGGUAGUGGCUUACAAAGGCUUUGACGGGUAGCCGGCCUGAGAGGGUGACCGGCCACCUUGGGCCUGCGAUACGGCCCAGACUGCUACGGGAGGCAGCAGUGGGGAAUAUUGCGCAAUGGGCGGACGCCUGAUGCAGCAGCGCCGCGUGCGGGAUGACGGCCUUCGGGUUGUAAACCGCUUUCGCCUGUGACGAAGCGUGCGUGACGGUACUGGGUAAAGAAGCACCGGCUAACUACGUG